CGGGGCGUAGCGCAGUUUGGCUAGCGUGUCAGCAUGGGGUGCUGAAGGUCGGAGGUUCAAAUCCUCUCGCCCCGA
rnacentral:tRNA from 1 species